UACGUAGGGGGCAAGCGUUGUCCGGAAUCAUUGGGCGUAAAGCGCGUGUAGGCGGCCCAGUAAGUCCGCUCUGAAAGCCCGGGGCUCAACCCCGGGAGGCGGGUGGAUACUGCUGGGCUCGAGUCCGGAAGAGGCGAGUGGAAUUCCUGGUGUAGCGGUGAAAUGCGCAGAUAUCAGGAGGAACACCGGUGGCGAAGGCGGGUCUCUGGGCCGUAACUGACGCUGAGAAGCGAAAGCGUGGGGAGCGAACAGG
rnacentral:rRNA from 1 species